rnacentral:lncRNA from 1 species
CUACCCACCCCCAAUUUCUCAUCUCAAGCCCCUGCCCCACUCUCUACUCCGGGUUCACGCAGAUAUUUUUCAUUGUUCUCUCCUCUCUUUCCGUUUCCAUAAACUUAUCUGGUAGGUAUCUAUUCUCCCGUUUCUCUUUCUGCUGAAAACGCCAUUGAAAUGACUCUUAUUUUUCUUUCAAUUCUCAGUGCAUCUUCAUUCAUCUUCUCCUCAAAUUGUCCGAUUAACUUUUCGAUCACUCACAACACUAUGAAAUUGCAAUCAUUUUGGCCAUUAAUGGCGGCGGUUCAUUCACUUCUUUUCUGUUUUGUUCCUAAGAAAGAUAGAAAAAAAUCUUUUUUUAAUAUCAUAUGCUAAACGCAUUUUCACCUUUGCUUAUAGACUGGUUGCGUUUUGCGACACUUUUGCUAUAUACAUUUCAUGUUUUUUUUUCAUCAUAUAAUUUUGUUCAACUUGCUGAUCGGAAUCAUUUUUCGUUUUGCUUUUUCAUCUGGAACUUCUUUCAGAUCAUCAAGUUUUCGAAUGAUACGAUAUGUAAUCACUCCCAGCCAUUGCGAACAUGCCGUUGCUUGGUUUUUCAGGUGGGCAAUGCUGUUUCUUUCAUAUUUAUUUCGUAUUUAAAUUAAAUAUACGUUUCAAUUAGUUUCUUCUUUCUUCUUUGCAAUUUAUUUUGGUUCAUAAAGUUUUUCCUUGCCGAGUUAUUGAAGUUUCGUUUCUUUACGAGGUCCAUAAGCAUCUUAUGUUGGUUUUAAUGUCACAUUUGAUGUACUGUUGCUGAUUAAUUUCGCUUUGGAAUUUCAUAAAAAGAAGGGAUUUUAACACAAAUAGCCAAAGAUUCACUGUUUACUUUUUCUAGUUGGUAUACAUAGAUUAUACAGUAAUUAUACACAGUUAUGCACAUAUGAUACAUGAAUUAUACAUAUAUUCUAUAUCUGUCUGGCUAGUUUUAGUUUAAGCGAUUAGGUGGAGGCUAUUUGGGUUAAUUCUUCUAAAAAGAAUCACUUUACUGUUUCUCGGUCGAAUCUGUGGUGGCUCCAUAUUUGUUAUUGCAUGUACCCUUGUUUUUUGGUUUCUGCUGCAUUUUCUUUUUUGGCACUAAUUCAUCCCAAGAAAUAAUACUAGUAGUUACUUUUACCUUAUGGCAUGUGAAAUAUGCUUCCGACCUCUGUGAUAUACUCUUAGUGCUGCUGUCUUAUGGCUUCUCCUGGGAAUUGUGUUAUGAUCUGCAUUCCAUUUUGCCUUCCUGUUAAUGUUGACAUAAAUUUUGGUGUUAUUGAUCUAAAGUGUAUCCACGCCACAUCAUUUAAAAUACAGAUAGCUAAACACUAUCAACAAGAAAUUGACCAUUUUACCAGUAUAAUGGCCUACAGUAGAAGUUGAACUGAAAUACCACUUGGCAAUCUAAAUAAAAUCUAGUAACACCAUGUUAAUUUUUACCCAUUACUCUAGGAAAAUAAUGUUUAACAUUAACUAGCUUUGUUCCUCUAGAAUUGUUUAGAGAUCAUAUUCAAAGCGAUUUUCCUCGUGAAAUGGCUUGGCAACCUACUUUUUUGUAUUUAAACACAUGUUCUAACAUAAAUUAAGGUUCUUAAAAAAAAAAUUAGGGUUUUCAUUUUACAUUUCAAUGAGAGACCAAUAAACUCAUAUUCCCUCCGUUCCAAUUUUAUUUUCUUUUUAGUCAUUCCAAAAAGACUGACCUCUUUCUAAAUUAAAUGUGACUUCUCAUUUUUACCCUUUUUGAGAAGCUUAUGUUGCCACAAAAAUGCUCCGGCAUAUUUAAGAUCAAAAGUUUCAAAAGUAUUAUAGCCACACAAAUGUUAUGACAUAUUUACGAUCGGAAGUUUCAAAAAUCGUCUUUUCUUUCUUAAGCUAUGUGGUUGAAAAGGAGGAAGUAUUUGACAUGAGCCUACAAAAACAGAAGUGAGUAGUUGAGGAGCAUAUGAGAGAAUUGAGCAGGGCAAAUGAAAAAGUUUAAAGAGAGCAAAGUAUUUAGAAUGCAAUAUAUUAUGAUCCAAAAAGUAUAAGUUGUUAAUUCUAAUUAUAAAAAUAUAAGUUAUGGAUCCAUGUGGGAUUCAUAGGGAUGGCUAAUAGGAGAAGUAAGAGAUAGAUAGAGCGGGGUGAGAGGAGUGAAUGCCUAAGUAUAAGGGCCAUUAUCAAGGUGGGGUUAAAGGAAAGAUGUGUGAUUAGUGUGCUCGCAAGAAAUGAAAACGAAAAAAUACCAGAGUCAAUUAUCAUAAGUGUGUGAAAACAUAAGAGUGAGAAGUGAAAUGAUAUGCUUAGGAGGAGAUAAGAAGGGAUUGUGGUGUUAUAAGACAUGUCGAUGUUGAAGUUUCAAGAUGUGAGGAAGGAGAUUCCACAAUUAUUGUAAUCUUUGAAAGUGUGGAUAGUUCAGUCGAGUGAGAUUGAUGGGUCGGCAAGUGAGGGGUCAAAAUGGAGUUUUGAGAGGAGAUCUCAUUGGUGAUGCUAGGAUGGGGUAAUGCGAGAUAGAUCGGGAUUUCAGUGCAAUAAGACUCCUGAAGGAAAGAGAGGAAUGUGAGGCCAGCGUUUAAAUCCCAACAUAGGCAAAAAUAGUAGGUGAUUAUUCUCCUAUACAUGUGCUUAUAGGAGAUGACGGAAUGGCAGUUACCUGAUGGAUUAGUCGAGUGCAUGCGAACUGGCUUGAACCUUGAUGUUUUAAACGGAAAGAAAGAGAUGGUAUGACGAUCCUUUGGGCAAUGGGAAAUUCACGAUGGUAAUCAACUCUCCCAUUUUUUGAUAGGUCCACAACUGAAAAGUCAAUCAAGGCUCGACAAGUUUCUCAUCCAACCGUAUGGGAGGGGAUGUUGCUAAUAUUUAUCCAAAUUGCUUCUUCUCUAAUAUUAAACCCUAUACUGAUUUUGUAGAUUGUAGCAGAAUAAGGAGUACCCUUCCUAACAAUUAGAAGCGGCCAGUGCUGGAUGGAUGGAGGGAGUACCAUAUGCAAAGGGUUCCUCUUUUUCUCCGGCGAAGAAGUUGAAGCGGCUAACAAAUUAUUUAAGAUGGACUGGAGAAGUACUUUAGAGGAUAAAAAUAUAACAAGGGAACUGAUGAAUGAAUUUGGACAAUUGGAGAGGAAAGAGAGAGGGUGCUUAUUAAGAGGGAAAAAUUAGGAAAUAUGAGGUAAAAGAGUAAUUAGCUAAGAUGACAGUCACUCAAGCAUCAAAAGGAGAUAAAAUUUGAGGAUAUUGUGGUUGAAGAAGGGUGAUUGCAACAUAAAUUCUUUUUAUCUGUUAGCAAUUGCUAGUCGGAGAAGGAAUUUUAUGGACACAAUAAAGGUGAAAUAGGUAGAACAUGGAGAAAAAGGAAGUAAGAGGAGUUAUUGAGUGAAGAUAAUGUGGGCAUAAAACUCUAAAUUAAAGAGAGUGGAUUUUAGCAACAUAGGGAGAGAAGAAGCAAUCAGUUUGAGAGGGAGUUCUUACUGUUAGACGUUUGGGGGGCUGUUGUUACUGUUCAUGGAAGUGCUCAUCAAAGCUACAAAUAGAGUUGUGAUUGGGGGUUAUCUAAGAUCCUUGUAGCUAGCAUGGAAGGCUGGACCAAUGUAGGGAUGUUUCAUCUUCUCUUGCAGACAGUACUCUUGCAUAUUGACCCCGAGGCGCAUCAACUCGCUACUUGAAAAGCACAUAAUUAUCUAGGUAGCUUUGAGUCUGAAGAUAGACAUGAAGGCGUUGAGAUAAGUCUAGUGGGUAAAGAAGAUAACAUAGAGCAACUAAAUGAGAUCCUAUUGUAUGGUUGGUUCCCCUUCUGUCAAACUACCUGGGACUAAAUGCAGCUUAUUAUCUAGUUCUUAUAGCCUUUCUAUGGGGUAAAUGGUAAAGUUACAUGGGUAUUGCAUGGUAUUCUUUCUCCUUAUCUUUAUAGGAUUAGAGCUUUGAUUUGAUGUGCUUUUUUUUCUUUUUCAUUGGACAGUUCUUUUUGGUCCUGAUUAUGUUGAACUGUCAUAUUUUCCUAUCGUUAAACAUAGUCUUAUUUUGAAAUGGAUUUCUACCAUACAUUUGGUGGCUAGUGGGCUGUAUUAGCAUUUUGGUAAAUGACAAGGCAGUUAGUAUUUAGUCCUAUUUGAGCUGGUCUGGAUUCCAUUCCAUAGAUAGUCCUGGAUGUGAUGCAAAAUCUUUAGUGCAUUCGUUUACUCAUAUCCUUGAAUAAAGUUCAUCAUACAGGUUACUAGUGAUUUUAAUUGAAUAAUUCCUCUGUUAUAGAGUACAACGGCUAAAGUACCUAAUUUUUGGUGUGGAUUUAACCAUAGGUUCUUCAAGUUUUUGAAAUAAAAUUUACAUAGUUGGAAACUACAUAAAAGGCACUAUAGGUCACAAAAGUUAAUAAUUCAAAAUAUUUGAAAGGUUUAAAAAAAGGGGGUUGUGGUCAAAGAACUCCCAGAAUAUGAAAAGUGGCCUUUUUUCCCCAAAAAAAGAAAAAGAAAAAGAAAAAUGUGAUAGAGGAAGUAAUAGGUUUUAGAGGGAUAGAAGAAAUAAAUUAGAUACAUUUUUUACUGAUAUAAUUCAGUUACAGUUGCUUUGUUUAAUGCAACAAAAGAUGACUUUUUACCACAUCUUCAAUACAAUAGAUUUCCAUGCCUUAAUUGUGAAAAUAUGAUUCAAGAAUAAAUAAAAUGGUUAUGAUAGACAUCAAGAUGACAAGAUCAUAAUGCUAUUGCUAUACAUUGUUUGUUUCUAUGCUUUUGAAUAAAUGUGUGUGCAUCAAUGCAUGGGUGGAGCUAUGGUGGUGGAAGGGGGUUCCCUUCACCGGAAAAUUACAUUGCAUAUAUAAGGUCAAAUAUUUUAUGUAAACAUAUUAGGUAUUGAAUCCCCUUGGCCUCGGUGCAUGUCUACUUUUUUUGUUUUUUGAAUCUCCUUAGCGGAAAUCCUAGCUUCGCCACUUAUGUUACCAUUUUUUUUUUUAAAAAAUCCUAGCUUCGCCACUUAUGUUACCAUUUAAAAAAAAUAAAUCCUAGCUUCGCCACUUAUGUUACCAUUUAAAAAAAAAAAAAUCCUAGCUUCGCCACUUGUAUUAGUACUCUCUUACAAACAUAUCACCAUAAUACAUUUUCUUUUCUCUUUCUUUUCUUUUUGUAGAGUAUAUAUCUGCCUCUCAUAUUUGUUUGAGUCUGUGCCUCUUAUAUCAAGAUGGUUCAAGUCCCAACUCCUCCCCAAUUGUACUUCACUCCCUUCUUUUUUCUGUCAAUCUCCUUUUUUGUGAAAAAGUGAGCUCGUUCACAAUAAGCGUUAAGUUUUGGGAAGUAAUAAGCGGGGCUAGCUUACGGUCUCUGGUUCACCUACCUUGAGUAAUGCCAAUUUUUUGGAAUGGAUGAAGUGGGUUAUAACAUAUAUAAAGUUUAAAAAAAUUUCUGAAGCUCUUAAAGAAAGGGGAAACAAAGCUUGGUGAUUUGACCUCAUACUAAAUUGUAAUGGCGCCUCAAACUGAAACUUUUGGCAGUACAAAUGAAGUUCAGGAAUAAGGUUACUACACUAUUUCCUUGCUUGUCCCGUUAGUAGAAUAACAUAUUAAUGCUAUUGUCGUAACAGAGCAUACUAGUAUAUUUACUUUUCUGUAGUUUUAUUUACUUAGACCCUCUAAAUAAGAUUGCACAGUUGUUAUGUUGCUAAAGUUCUCAUUAUGACCUAAAAAUUUUCAUGUUGACCUUCAAUUAAACCAUGAUAGAACUGAAAAUAAAGGAUUCAAGUGGCUUAACUUAGCUUACUAUAUAUAACUGAAAAAAGUACAAUUUGAAAGAAUCUCAAUAUUGGCAACUCCAAGAGAGAACCAUGCCAUCUUACUGAAAUAUGGUGUAUAGAUCCUUGCUCUGUACAAGGGCUAUCCUUGUCCGGCCUGUCAGGGAAUUCUUAAUCUUGUUGCUACAUUGAUGUAAAGUGUUAUUUAGUUGAGAUACUGCAGUAACACUAGAUGGUCAAUUCUUUUUCCUUGAGCCGUGUCAGUUUCCUCUGAAUUUACUCGAUUCUGCAUCUUUAUGAACCUUACUACACUAGCUGUCUUCAUUUUUAUCCAAGUGCUAAGCCAUUAUGAAACCUUAUCUACGCCUCUUUUGUUUCUAUUUGUCUUGAACUGAGAAUCUUUGACUAAAAGAGAUUGUUUAAUUAUGUUUUAUAUUCUCAGUGUUUGAAAUUGCUGCUGCUGCCAUUAUUGAGCUUUGGUUGUAAUAAGUUUUCCAACCAUUCUUGGUAUUGGCAUUGUAAAAAGAUGCUCGAUGUGCUGAUUAUUCCACUAAAAACUAAGAAGAAACUUCUCCUUUUUGUUUAUUUUACACAAUUUUCUGGAAUGUCCCGAGCAGGUGGGAUCAUAUUCUUUGGUAACAUUGCAUGCUUGCAGUUUUGCUGUUUGAAGAGAAAUUCAAAUUUCUAGUUUUAAUUCCUUUACCUUGUCAAUAUGUAGUACCUGUACACACUAAACUUUGAUAAGCUCCGUGAAGUUUUUGCCUUUUUUUCAAUUCCCUAGUCUUAUCCACUACCCAAUAUUCCUUCAUUCACGUUCAUGUAAACUACAUCCAGAUAGCAGUUGAAUAGUCUUUUGUGGUUAAGACUCUACACCUUUUAGAUGACUGUGUUCUGCCUAUGUGUAUUUCCUGAAGUAAUACAGAAGACUUCUGCCUGAGAUGAACUUUAUGAUCAGACAGUUCAUGACCUAAGCAUGAAUGCUUUCUUGUUAAUUUAAGUGUGCAAUCCAUUGCUGUACAAAUAGAUAAUUUGGCGAGACUGUCUUUUGUAUUAUAGAAAUUGUUUUUGAUUGCGCAUGCCAUUCAUGUCGGUUUAGCAUUGGGAUCCUUGUGAUCCAGAAAUAACUUGUUUAAGAAGCACUUACUAUAUUCCUUAUUUAAGAAAAAAACAAACGCUUACUGUAUUUGGCAGCAAAGAAUGUAGUACUCAAAAUUGUGAAGCAUGUUUCAUAUAUUCUUUCCUGAUAUAAUUCUUUCUAUACAUAUUUAGUCUUCAGGCUCAAGAUCAUUCAUUCUUAAAUUCCCGGGAAGAGCAUUACUAAUAUAAAUUCGUAUUGUGUAUUUUUCUUUUCCAGUUGAAUGCUGAAAUUUGACAUUGGUGUGUAAUGAACUUAGUUUGUCCUUGCUGAAGACUAUUGCAUGCAAAGCAUAUUGAUGCAACUUUGAGGUAUGUCUUAAUGUAUUAAGUUGCUUAGCUCAGAUUUGUACUGUUUGCAUGUGGUGUGUUUCUCAAGGAAUUUCUAUGAGGAGCUACUGUUUUGUAAAACCUUUUCUGCUUACAUUUCUUCGCUCUUGCUCCUGUUUUAAGUUGUCAACUAUUUACAAUUAUUUCAGAAGUGUCAAAUCAAUUAUAAUCCUAGCAUAUAUGCAUACACAUCAUAAGCAUCAAGUGUCGAGAAAGAUAAAGAACUUAGAGAUACUGUGCCAAUGUAUUCUUUUAUUUGUUGUUAUUUUGACUUAAGUAGCUGUGCUAGGGAUUACCUCACACUUGUCUAACUUGCUGACAUUAACCAUAUGAACGGUAGAUUUUUCCUGACAUCCCUGCUUCUCUACCACUACUACCAUUACUAAUUGAAACAUAACUUUGUAAGCACGGCUGCUUCUUCAACACGAGAACUCAAAACUCUUACGAGUCUGGUUUUCCCGCUAAUGCAGCUGUAGCCUGCAGCAUGUUCCAGUUAGAUGAUAGUCAAUGAUCAAGGUCGUGAGCUACCAUUGUGCUUCCAGAUAAAGAAUAUGAAUAAGAAAUUACCCCAAUUCUGUAGUUCCUGAUGUGCCAUAGUUUUGUUGCUGUGGCUGGCUAAGCUGGAGAUGUACAGGAGUGUGGGGGUCUUCAUUAAUGCUUAAACUGUUCGGAGCAAGGGCUAUUCCGCUCACUCCAUUUGCAUCUCUAUUUCCAUAAACCUGUAAGUUCAACACAAAAUGUAGAAACAAUUUGCUAGAGUUCUAAGUAGAAUGGUGAAACUUUUUUACUUGGUAUAUGAAUAUGGAAGGAAAUAAUUGUUCUUGAAGCGCAGUGAAAGCUCUUAGUGAUGUACAUGGAUACCCUCUUAUACAAUUCCAUAUUUUCUUGACGAAUUAGGUUUACCUUCUUAUAUAGUUCCAUGUUUUCUUGAUGGAUGAGGUUUCCCUGCAAGGAAAAAAGUUAAUUUAGCUUCUUUAAAAGUUAUCCUUUUUAGAACAAAUUGAAAACAAAAGUCACUGCAUUUUAUGUUGAUUGACCUUUCGGUUUAGUUCUUGUAUCUCAUCAAUCAGAAUUUCAUCCUGUAGAAAUGAGAGGUUGAGUUAGUUCUUCUUUAGUUCAUAUAAGAUAGUGCACAUUUGAUGGAUCUGGAAGUUUCGUACCUUUCUCACACGGACACCACGGAGACUCAUUUCCAGUUGGUUCUCCAAGUUCUGUAAAUCUUUGACGCUCAGACCAGAAAGCUCUUCACCCAUCAUUUGUCUAUAGUGCAGAAAUAAACUGUUAACAAACACGCGACUUCAACAGAAAAGUUGAUACCUGACUGACUAUGAUUUAGAUAUACAUCCAUUUCUAACAACUGUUGCUUCUCGCUUCUUGGGGGGGGGGGGGGGUUGAUGUUAAACAGCUCGAGGGUUUGGGCUUUAGCAGAAAUCUAUAACACCAUUUGAGAUGGGCUUAUUAUUGGAUUUUCACUCCCGACAUUAAGUGGUUUCUGAGUUUAUCUAGUGUAAACACCUCUACAGAAACCUUCAGUAAAUUGCAUGAUUCACUGCAGUAUAUUUUGCAAAAUGUAGUAUGCUUUAGAAGUCCAUGCUAAUACUUCUAAUCAUGAGAGAUAAGAGAUACUGGGUGCUGCUUGAUACUUUAACGCCUUGAUGUGAGGGAUGAUAGUAAGACAUUGUAAGGAUUAUGCUCACGGUCUUGAAUGUCUCAUCAUUUUGAUUGGAAUACCAGUAACCUCAAAUAAUCUCUGAAUGUCCUUUCUGUUAGCACUUACAGAUAUAACCUUCUUAUGGAGGAUCUAGAGUGGAUAUCUCUGUUUCAUCUGCUAUUUUGAAAACUGAAAAUGCUACCAGCUAUCAAGUGGCACUUCCUAGCAAGGUGGCUGAUAGUUUAACCCUUAAUUUCUUGCAUAGCAAAAGCUUUUUUAGGGAAAUUGGUGGUUAACCUAGGGAUUGCCUAAAGCAAUAAAAAACAGAAAUGAGAAAAAGGAACGAGACAAGUUAACCUUUUUAACAAUAAAAAAACAAGUCGACUAUUUCAUUUCCGUAACUAUAAACUAAAUGACCUUAUCAAAAAAAAAAACUAUAAACUAAAUGAAAUGACAACAAACAUUUAGAAAAUGACAACAAACAUUUAGAAUUAGUCAACUAUUAACUAAUUCAAAUGAAAACUUGACUUCUGGGCUCCAAAAUGAUGAAGUAAGUUGAAAUGGAAAGGUCUUCAACAUAUAAUUUAGGAGGCAAAGUACUAAUAGAACUUUAGGAUUGAAAGAUAGAUAGAAAUGAGAGGAAAGAAGAGAGUACAACAACAACAACAUACCCAGUGUAGUCUCACAAGUGGGGUCUAGGGGGUUGUGUGUACGCAGACCUUACCCUUACUCUUAAGAAGACAAGAGGCUGUUUCUGGUAGACCGUCGGCUCAGGAAAGAUAAAGGGAAGGGGCAAUAACAAGAAAACCAAUCGGAAAGCCGAAGCAAAAAUACAAAACUAACACUAGGUAAUGCAAUCAGAAAACCGAAGUGAAGGCAACAACAAGUAAUAACAAAAGUCUAGGAAGACGAAAAUACACGAAAGACGCUAAGUGAUGUACUAGAGCUACUGUAACAAACAAGGACAUCGCUCGACUACCUAACCUUUUACCUUUAUUCUCAACCUCCACACCUUCCUAUCCAUGGUCAUGUCAUCAGUAAGCUGGAGCAAUGUCAUAUCUUGCCUAAUCACCUCUUCCCAUUACUUCUUUGGCCUGCCUCUACCUCUCCGUUGGCUCUCUAAGGCCAACCUCUCACACCUCCUCACCGGUGCAUCUGUGCCUCUCCUCUUCACAUGCCUGAACCAUCUAAGUCUUGCCUCCCGCAUCUUGUACUCCAUAGGGCGCAUCUUGUACUCCAUAGGGGCCACGCCCACCUUGUCCUGGAUAACUUCAUUUUUAAUUUUAUCUAACCUGGUAUGCCCGCACAUCCAUCUCGACAUUCUCAUUUUAGUCACCUUUAUCUUUUGGACAUGAGAGUUCUUGACUGGCCAACACUCCACCCCAUACAACAUAAUCGGUCUGACCACCGCUCUAUAGAACUUACCUUUAAGUCUUGGUGGCACAUUCUUAUCAUAUAAAACACCGGAAGCGAGCCUCCAUUUCAUCUAUCCCGCCCCAAUACAAUGUGUGACAUCCUUGUCGAUCUCCCCAUUCCCUUGUAUAACUGACCCAUGGUACUUGAAACUUUCUUUCCUAGGGAUGACUUGUGAAUCAAGCCUCACGCCUUGGCCCACUACCUGUGUCGCACCACUGAACUUACACUCCAAGUAUUCUGUUUUGGUCCUGCUCAACUCGAAACCUUUAGAUUCCAGGGUCUGCCUCCAAACCUCUAACCUCUUGUUUACAUCACCUCGCGUCUCGUCAAUCAGUACAAUAUCAUCUGCAAAUAACAUGCAUCACAUCACCUCCCUUUGAAUGUGGCGCGUCAGUGCGUCGAUCGCCAGGUUAAAUAGAAAUGGGCUGAGGGCUUACCCCUGGUGCAACCCCAUCACAACUGGGAAGUGUUUCGAGUCCCCUCCCAGUGUCCUCACACGAGUCUUAGCUCCAUCAUGCAUGUCCUUAAUAGCCCUAAUGUAUGCAACUGGAACCCCUCUAGUCUCCAAACAUCUCCACAGAACCUCCCUCGACACUUUAUCGUAAGGCUUCUCUAAGUCGAUGAACACUAUAUGUAAAUCAGAGGAAAGAAGAGUAGGUAAUUUAAUUUUUUUGUUUGCUCGGAAUGGGUUUUUAGGAAUAGGAAGGGAGGAGGGAAGAGGGAAUUAAGUUCGUUAACACAAUGUUCUGUCCAAAAGUGGGUGAAACCAAGAAAAACAAGACAUGCUGUAGUGAAACUUUUGUAGCAUUAAAAGAAAACUCAGGAUUAUUAACAAAAUAACUAUUAAGGGAAUUAGUGUCAAUUGAUACACAUUCCUUUUAUAUUUCCUUACUCCAUCACAGGAAAGUAACAAUCUGCUCUCCCUUUCUUUUUCUCUACAUCAUCUCCAUUCUUCUCUUUUCCCUUUUCUCAAUUCAAAAGAUCAGUGUUAAAUAGUUUAAGUAGAGUAAUGGAGGAAAUAAUUCAUUUAACCUAGUUACUUUGUUGAUGAAUUCAAUAAUAUACUGAUAUUAUGGGCAGAUUCCCAUAUGUAUCCAAAUCCCUGCAAAGAGCAUUCGGUCAUCAAUACUGAUUGAGACACCAUACAUUAUCUAAAAACAGUACGUCCCUUAUGUAAAUACUGCUUAUUUGCACAUGAAGCACAAAGUGACAGGGAUUGUCCAUUUUCCUCUCAAAUUCUUUGUUGUUAGGAUAGCUCCUUGUGUUACUAUCGGUUUAAAAGCACGCUUCCCAAAUGCUGUAGGGAUCCAUAUUGAAGAGUGAGGGAAGUUACCUUUUCUUUAGCAGUCCAUUAUAAAAUGAUUUCACUAUGAACAUAACAUCUUUCUGGCCUUUCCUGUUUCCAGCUACCUUUGUCCAUAAAUGAUAUUUUUGCUUGUACGGUAAUGUAAGCAAACUAUUAAGCUGUUUCAUCGUCCAAUCCUUCACUCAAAUGUAGUUUCUAUAGAAUUUCCUCAUUCUUUAUAAUUGGGACGAGUGUUAAUCUCUGCUGGCUGAAAGUAUUGAAUAUGAUCAGAAAACUUAACAUAAAAGAAUAUGACUACAUUGUCUCUAUUUCCAGAAAUUGAUUCUGGUUUCAUUACCUCCCUUCUAAUUUGACACAUCCAUAGAAUCUCUCCACAUUUUCACCAUAUCCUCCAUAGAGUUACUCCAUAUAGCAUGGAUAAUCUGAUUGGUCCUAAUUAUCCCACUUGAUCUACAUACUUUUUAACUAUGAUCGCUCUCCACAAUGGUUGAUUUCCAUGCGAAACCCCCAAGUCAACUUCCCUAGUUGAGUUCUAUGAACAUUCCAUCUCCCUAUCGUGUCCCAUAAUAGAUUCGUUUACACUUUUUAACCUUUUGCCAUGAUUCCUGGUACAUAGUAAGUUGACAGAUUCGAAAAAUUACUCUUUGAUAAUGGUCUCUCUCUCCCUUUUAAGUAAGUAUUACUUCUACCGUCCUUUAGUUUCUUUUUGGUUCUCAACAUUCUCUUUCAUAUUGCAGUCUUUGUAAAUCGUACUGGUAUAGUCAAUAUGGAUACAUAGUAAGUUGGCAGAUUAAGCAAAUUUCUCUUGAUCGCUGUGUCUAUCUCACUUUUUCAAGAAGUAUUUCUUCUACCAGCCUGUUAGUCUCUUUUUGACUCUCUCGACCAUCAGUUUUUUUUCUUUGACAAUCCUUGAAAGUCGCACCCAGCGGUAGUAUUGAUAAGUCAUCUUAUGAUGGGACCCAUACUGCAACUAUGGAUCUCCACCAGCUAUUUAAUGCUCUUCGCUUCAUCAAUCUUAGAGUUCCCUGAGACCACAAUAGUAGAGCUGAUUUGCCUCGGUAAUAACACAAAAUGUCAUCUGCAUAUAGUAAGAUAUAGUAGAUAAUACACUUGUAAACUAUCUUUCCUUCCCUACAAGCUGUGAAGCCCCAUAAAUAACCCCUGUCCUUAUUCUCCAUCUUCUUGUUGAAUAUUUCAAUGAUCAGUAUGAACAAUGUCAGGUGUAGGGUUUUUAAAGUCUUGCUUAAGGCGCAGUUAAGUCUUGAAGCUCAGUGAAAUCCAAUUUGUGGGAUUCACCUCCCAUGGUUGGCACUUUAGUGUAGGUACUAUAAUAUGUGCUUCUUCACCUAUGAGCUCCAUCUUUAAGAGCAUUGCACUAGACAAUAAAUAGAGUUGACAAAGUUAUAUUAAUUGUUAAGAAAGCCUUAUGAAUGAACUUUUAGCGAUUAGCAAUAAGAAAUUAGAAGCUGCACCAAGGGUGUGGCCUAGUGGUCAAUGAAGUGGGUUGAACACCAUGAGUUCUCUGGUUCAAUUCCCAACAGAGACAAAACAUUAGGUGAUUUCUUCCCAUCUGUUCUAGCCUUGGUGGACAGAGUUACCUGGUAUCUGUUGCUGGUGGGAGGUGGCAGGUAUCCCGUGGAAUUAGUCGAGGUGCACGCAAGCUGGCCCGGACACCACGAUUAUAAAAAAAAAGCAAUAAGAAAUUAGAAGUUCAAUAUAAGAAAAUUAGCCAUUAAAAACAUAAAACUAUGUUUUUCAUUUAAAUAAGAAGUUUAAAAUGGUUUCUGAGCUUACUUAACAUGACUUUUACUUCAUAUAUACAACCUAAUUCCAUUCUUUCGUACAAAGAACUAAUUUUUUUUUUUGUAGUUACAUUUACUUGCUUUACAUUUUUUUAUUAGCGCUUUUGUACGUUAAAACCCAUACUUCGAUUGCACUUUAAUCUUAAAGCCCAACGAACUUUAGCACUUUUUGCUUUUGACUACUUUGGUAAGGUGAUCACCUUGUCAUAGACCUCUUGAGCUUCCAAAGAAACCUUUGGGAUUCCGUUUACUAGACUGAGAACUUGAUAGUGGGCAUCAGAAAGUGGAUCAUUGUUUUCAUCUCUCCCAUCCCUUAUUCUCCAUAACGAGGUCCAGAAGUCAUGCUUUUUAUGGAUUACUUUACACAGUACUCGUGUCUCUCUACUCUUCCGUUCUAGCUCAGUCACUAUAUAAGCUCCUUGUAUAACUUAAAUAGCAGACAAAAUAGAUUUAAGGGCCCAAAUAAUAAAACAAUUCUAACAACGAAAAUUUCCACUUGUGAAACAAUUUGACUCCUAUGAUGUAGGAACUCAAUGAAAAUUACUGGGGUACUUUCUUCUGAAAUAAUUUUGCUCAAACAUCUCAAAAGCUAUCGUGGACUAACAUGAGCUCAAUUUAAGAAAAUACCUGAAUUGCUUAAUACACAAAAAUAUCCUUAUUUUUAUUCUAUAGGUCAUUGAACAAGUUAUUAGCAGAGAGAAGAAAUAUAUGUGAUAAAGAACAAGAAAGUUUACCGAUGAUUCUCUUGCAAGUUUUGUAGUUGUUGCCUCAGCACUGCCGCUUCCCUUUGCCAAAACUGCUAAGAAGAAAAAAUAUUUCUUACAUUUUGGAUUAUCAAGAACAAGAACAACAUGCCCAGUGUGAUCCCACAUGUGGGUUUUGGAGAAUGUAUGGUGUACGCAGACCUUACCCCUACCUUGUGUGAGGUAGAGAGGUUGUUUUCAAUACACCCUUGGCUCAAGAAAAGAAUUUUCAAAAUAGGUUUAAAAAAUACAAGAGUAAAAAAGUUAUGAUGAAAAUACUGAAACAAAGAAAAUUAUUGCCAGCAAAAUAGUAAAGAUAAUCGAAAUAAAAGAAACACCAGUUGUAUAAAAUUGAGGAAUAAAAUAAUAAUACUAGGAUAAUAAUACUAAUACUGAUAAAGAGAAGAGGGUGCUCUAAACUAGAACCACUGCUCUCCCGCAAAAAAAGAGAGAAAUCGCUUGACUACCUGCUAAUCUUCUACUCUAAUCCGCGGCCUCCAAGCUCUCCUAUCUAGGGUUAUGUCUUCGGUGGGCUGAAGAUGUGUCAUGUCCUGUCUAAUCAUCUCUCCCCAGUUCUUCCUCGGUCUACCUCUACCUCUCCUAAGACCUAUCAUUGCCAACCUUUCGCACCUCCGCAUUAGGGCAUCUGUGUUCCUCCUAUUCACAUGCCCGAACCAUCUCAACCUCGCUUUAAGGAUCUUGUCCAUCAUGAGGGCCACUCUUACCUUGUCCCACAUAUCUUCUUUCCUAAUCUUAUCUUAUGCUCACACAUCCUUCUAAGCAUCUUCAUUUCCGCUUCUUGCAUUUUCUGAACGUGUGAGUUCUUGACUAGUCAACACUCUGCUCCGCAUUUUGGAUUAUCAUAGGAGACAUUAAUGGAUAUCGCUGCAUGCUUUGAAAACUAGGUGCAAUAUCAAUAGUAAACAAAGCUUAGAUGUAAUGGGUUCUAUUUAGAUUAAUGUAUAGCCGUUCCCUUCCUUGCGGUCCAAGAAAUAGAUCCAUGUAUAACCUCAAGAUUGUGUAUUUUAAUUUAUUAGCCCUUUUAAAUUAGGGGGAAAAACAAAAUGAGCUAGGGUUACUUUCUUGAGGUUGCAUCCUGUCAAUGAUGAAAAAAGAAGGAAAAAUGAAAUACACUAGCUUAUGGUUCCGCUCCCCUCUAUUUCACUAGCUAACAUAAAUAAAAAUAUCAUUUCCUUUGUGUUAUCCCAAGGAUUGGAUCUGGUUAAGAAUCGCUGUAUACUCCUUAUGAAUGUCACUUCUCUUUUAUAAGAUUAAAAGGGAAAAGGAAGAACUUGAAUUCUUUUGAUUUUAGUUUUAAAUGUGGAGACACUUCUUGUGGUUAAUUUUUUUUCAAGAAGUAAAAAUUUUCAAAAAGAAGAAUCUGGUAUAAAUUAGACAAAUUCAAAAUAAUAGAUGCAUCAAAUAUGAUUAGAGGACGCAGCAUAUGAAACCUUACUGAUCUACUUUGGCUUAGAGACAACUUUAUCUUAAAAAAGACUUUGUAGACAUGCUGUCAAUUCUUGUUUCUUGAUUGCCUCAUUGAUAGGUUUCUCCUCUUUCUCUUACAUUGAUGAAAUGGUAGUGUCGUUUUUAAUAACUAAAACUUGAACUUUUUUCUUUUAAGCUAGUUCAGAUUAGGAUUUUGGAAGUUCUCUGGUUCAGGCGCAAAGUUCGACAUUUGGGAAUUGAAGGGGAUUCGAGUCUCAAACAUUAGUAGAUAACAUUAGAGAGUCAAAAAUACACUGACAAAGAGAACAUUGUUGCUGUGUCUGUGAAUCAGCUGCUUUCCAGAGUGACUCUUUGACCGUUUUCUUCUGUAUCUCCUCACAUUGAUGAAAAUGGGUGUAGAAGAGGAUUUCUACUUUUGGUACAAAGGUCGACAUGUAGGAAUAGAAGAGGAUUUGAGUCUUAACAUGACUAGGACACAUCAAGAUGUUGACCAUGCAACCAAGCCAGGUUGAAUUCAAUUUUUGUCAUUUUCGUGGAAGACAUAUUGUAGAUUUAGCUACAAGACUUCUUCUGCAUAGCACUAACAAUUUGAUGCAUCUCUUAGCAUGGACCCUAUUAUUGACUGGUUGCCCUGAUUAAUACAAUGCCUUGAUAUGGAUUUGCUGUAGAGUGGCUUGAGUGAUGUUAAUUAACAGCUCCUAUAUUUUGUGGUAAAUUACUCCUACAAACUUGUGAAGAAUUCUUCAAACCAAUGGGUUUGAAUGACAUUUCAUAGGGGAUUCAAAGUUUUGAAGUGAAAGAGAUAGCCACAAGGCAUCUUUUUUAUAUUUGUUGCUUCCUACCUUCAAAAGUUUUGCUCCACAAUAUGCCAUCAGCGAUAGAAAUGUAAGUUAUAGUUGUUUUGGUAGCCUUGAAGUUGAUGGCCAUUCUGGUGUGUGGUACUGCAUGGAGGAUGCAAAUUCAACGUUCUGCUUCGUAAAUGAGUUCUUACAGUUGCCGCAUAGUUACUCUAUGCUAUACUAUCAUAUGUUAUUCAAACCUCGGUCCUAAUUGUGCUAUAAUUUGUUUGUAACUUCCUUCUAUGCUUUGCACCAUAUGUGGGAUUUUUACAAUUGGAUCUAGCUUAAUUGACUGAGAAUAAUCCUACUGAAUAGAUGAAAUAGGACUCCACCAUCUAAUAGGUCCACAAGACUGAAUUUCCCCUCUUUGUAUACAGUUUUUAGUUCAUAGGAAGAGUUUGUUUCUUCAUUUACCAUCUCCUCUUGUACCUUUUAUUAUCAAAGUGAAAUAUGUGAAAGAAGAAUAAAAGAUUUGAUGCCUAAUGUUAUUGAUGGCUUUUUGGUAUAGGUUACAACAACAACAAUUACCCUGUAAAACAACAAUUGAUGGUGUACCUUACCCCUACCCAGGGGAGUAGAGAGGCUGUUUCUGAUAUACCCUCACCAGAAAAUAGAUGAAAAGCAAAAACAAUAAUCAGUAAAUAAGGCCCGGAAUUAUGAAAAACGGAAGAAUAGUGUGAACACAACAUUAACCGCUAGCCGUCUAAGACAAAACUCUAUCAGACUAGCCUCACACCUGUUACGGAGUAGAAAAAUGCUUGACUACCCCCUAACCUACAAUCCUAAUGCUCGACAUCAAGGGCCAUGUCCUCGAAAAUCUGAAGCUACGCCAUAUCCUGCCUGAUCACCUCUCCCUAAUACUUCUUAGACUGCCCUCUACCUCUUCUCGUACUCGUCAAAGCCAACUGCUCACUCCUUACCGUGGCAUCUAGGCUUCUCCUCCGCACGUGCCCGAACCAUCUGAGCCUCGCUUCCCGCAUCUUGUCAUCCAUAGGAGCCACACCCACCUUCUCCCGAAUAUCUUCAUUCCUAAUUUUAUCGAUCCUAGUGGACCCGCAUAUCCACCUCAACAUCCUCAUUUCUGCUAUUUUCAUCUGCUGGAUAUGUGAGUUCUUAACUGGCCAACACUCUGCCCCAUACAACAUGGGCGGUCUAACCACCGCUCUAUAAAACUUGCCUUUGAGUAUCGGUGGCACUUUCUUGUCACGCAGGACUUUAGAAGCUAACCUCCAUUUCAUCCAUCCAACCAAUAUACGGUGUGUGACAUCCUCGUCGAUCUCCCCAUCCCGCUAGAUAACCGACCCAAGAUACUUGAAACUGCCUCUUUUAGGAAUGACCUGCGAUUCAAGCCUCACGUCCAUGCCCGAUUCCCUCAACUCGGCGCUGAACUUGCACUUCAGGUAUUUUGUCUUAGUCCUGCUCAACUUGAAACCCUUAGACUCUAGGGCCUGUCUCCAAACCUCCAGCCUCUCGUUAACGCCUCACGUCUCAUCAAUUAGAACUAUGUCGUCAGCAAAUAACAUACACCAUGACACCUCCCCUUGAAUAUGAUGUGUCAGUGCGUUCAUCACCAGGGCAAAUAAGAACAGGCUAAGCGCAGAUCCUUGAUGUAACCCGAUAACAACCGAAAAAUGCUUUGAGUCAUCUCCCACUGUCCUAACCAGAGUCUUAGCUCCAUCAUACAUGUCUUUAAUCGCCCUAAUGUAAGCAACCGGCACACCUUUUGCCUCCAGGCAUCUCUAAUGAACCUCCCUACGGACCUUGUCAUACACUUUCUUCAGGUCAAUAAACAUCAUGUGUAGAUCCUUCUUCCUAUCCCUGAACUGUUCCACUAACCUCUUAUAUCUUCCGUAGUUGAACGACCCGGCAUGAACCCAAACUGGUUGUCAGAUAUAGACACCGUCCUCAUCACCCUNNNNNNCNNNNNNNNNNNNNUCCUUUGUUCUUGUACAACGGUACCAUCGUACUCCACCUCCACUCAUCCGGCAUCCUUUUCGUCCUGAAAAUAACAUUAAACAGUCCAGUCAGCCACUCCAAGCCUGCUCUACCCACACACCUCCAAAAUUCUACCUGAAUUUUGUUUGGCCCGGUUGCUCUUCCCCUACUCAUCUUACGUAUAGCCCCCACAACCUCCUCAACCUUAAUGCGCCUAUAGUACCUAAAGUCUCGGUGACUCUCAAAAUGCCCCAAUUCACCUAGCACAAUAUCCCGGUCCCCCUCUUCAUUCAGAAGUUUAUGAAAGUAAGUCUGUCAUCUCCGCUUAAUCUGAGCCUCUCCCAUCAAUACUCUACCGUCAUCGUCUUUGAUGUACCUCACUUGGUCCAGAUCUUGAGCCUUCCUCUCUCUCCCCUUGCCCAGCCGGAAUAACUUCUUAUCCCCACCUUUGUCUCCCAAUUCCUCGUAUAGACGCCCAAACGCUAUAGUCUUAGCCUCUGUGACCACCAAUUUCUCCUCCUUCCUAGCUACCUUAUACCUCUCCAUGUUCGCUUCUCUCUCCUCCUCUCCUGUGCUCCCUACUAACUUCAGGUACGCCGCCUUCUUCGCUUCCACUUUACCUUGGAUCACUCCAUUCCACCACUAGUCGCAUUUGUGCCCGCCAGAGUAACCCUUCGAGACCCAUAACACCUCUCUUGCCACCUCCCUUGUACAGUUCGCCGUCAUCGUCGACAUAGCGCUCGCGUCCCACUACUCCUCUAGGCUCGCAUAGACGAUAACCUCUCUUCCAACUCCUGAGGUUUAUCCUUAGUCAAGGCUCCCCACCUGAUCAUCGUUUAUUGCUAGUAUUGGUUAUGUUGAGGCCGACCUAGACCAACACAAAGUAAUGGUACUCAUUCUUCGUCUAUGCAUAUGUACGUUGAAGAUUUAAUCUAAUCUUAAAUAUUAAAAACUUGUUAUUUUAUUUUUCCAGCUACAUUUUUAUUAGAAAACUUACAAAAGUAAGACUCUUGAUUUUGUGUUCUAGUAUCAUUUCAUUCUGACGCUCUUGAGAUACCUCAUGGAGUUUAUUCUCCUCCUUGCUUCUGAAGAUGAGUUGAACACAAGCCUAUAACAUGAUCUAGGUUUUCAUGGUUUUGGACUUCAGCUUUGGAACUUCUAUUUAUUUUCAUAAUUGAGAUUUGGUAGACUUAUGGUAAGUGAGAGGAGUUGAAAGCAGUGGCGGAUCCAGAAUUUUCAUCAAGGGGUGUCAUAAUAUAAAUAAUUAGAUAUAUCGAAAAGUGAAGGAGAGUCAACGUAUAGUAAAUAUACAUAAAAUAAAAAAAGUUAUCUAGCAAAAUAGUGUAAUUUUCCGGCGAAUGGGUGUCGCUUGACAUCCCUUGCUUCAAUGUGGCUCCGCCACUGGUUGAAAGUUAUUUAAAAUGCUAAGAGGACCGUGUUAAGGUGGCAUUUGACUUAUUAGGGGGAGGAAAAUUGGAAAACUAUUCUGCAUGUCUUUAGUAUUUUGGCUUGAACAUGAUGUAAUACUGUUGGAUUUAUUAUCUCCUGUAUUUCAAUGUUGUAUUUCUGGGGAUUCUGCUGAACUUAUCCCAUGCUAUUAUUCAUAGAGUUAAGACUGUAAUUUAUCUGCAAUAGAGUUAAAGCACAGGGAUAGACAAGUAUGUGAUCAACACUUUGUUGAUAUCUAUGUAGAAUUUACAUUCUUCAUUUUAUACCAGAAAGAGAUAUUUUACAUGCUUCAAAUUAUCUUUGUCUUGUUUCCCAACUUGCAAUGAAGCUAAUGGUAGACGACCGCUCCUAUAUGUUGAUGGUGGGAUUAUGUGGAGAGAGGCUACAUCUCAUCCCACCCAUGUUAUAAUAGUUGGUAGUGCUUGAUAACGUGAAGUUUAGCAUUAGCACUUUUGACAAAAGGUAAGCAAAAGGUUAUGUGAUAAGUGAAGAGCUUAUCUACAUACGGAAAGAAAUCAUCUAGAGUAGGAUUGAACAGAGAUAUUGGGUCUCUUUGAGGUGGCAAAACUGAACCAUGGAUACCAUUGCCCCACUCUAUGGUAACCGAGGCUUCUAGUUGAGGUUUCAUGACAUUUAGGCAACUAUUAGUGGCUUUUGUUAAGAAUAAUACAUAAGUUAGUGUCGUUUAGAUGCAUGUUGGGGAGGAAGGAUAUCUGUCAGAUUAUUAUUUAGGCUCUUUAGUUGUUGGUCAUAUUCAGUUUGCUUCAUUUUUGUAGAGUGAUAGUAUGGCAUGUGAUGAAAAUUGGUUUGUAGAAUGGAUUCCUUCUGGUCAGAGGUAACUAUAUAGAGUCUAACCACAUCUAAGGCGGAAGGUUUAUCUGGUUAUAGUUCUUCAAUGUUUUAGCCAUAUCCUUGGUUCUUAUGUUGCUGUAUUUGCAUAAUAUGUAUUGCUUAGGUUUAGGGGUGGCAAAUAGGUGGGUCGGAUCGGAUAUGAGCAGGUCGAAAAUGGGAAUGCAAAAAUGGAUAAAUUAUCCGACCUAACCCAUAUUUAAUACGGAUAGAAAAUGGGUUAACCGNNNNNNNNNNNNNNNNNNUAAACUCAUUAGUUAUCUAUUGGUUAUACAUUAGUUAUUCAUUUUCUAAGUGGAUAAUAUGAUUUUUAUCCAUAUUUGACCCGUUUUUAAAAAAUUCAUUAUCCAAUCCAUUUUUUUAGUGAAUAAUAUGGAUGGAUAACUGUUUUUUAAUCCAUUACCGCUACUUAGGUUCAUGACAUAUGGGCAACAUUUUUUUCUUGUGCAGUAAGAAAUUAGCCGUGCCCCAGAUGGAGAUUAUAACACAGCUCUAGAUGAGAUCUUCUGUUCUUGGAUUUUGUGUACCGUAGGAAGUGUGUGCUAUGAGCAUGAGUGCAAUGUCAUGAUGGCAGUAUUAACCCCUCAGCAGAAUGCUUAAUUAUGCCUUAAAUUAUGUUGACCUAUGCAGUCUUAUUAUUAAAAGGAGUCAAGUUCUGCUUCCGUGAUCAAUCUUACGAGAAAUUACCUUCCAAUACCAUAUCCAAAGUUCCUUGCUGCACCUGAACUGAUAUGGCUCUCUGUCAGAUGAAAAUCCCCUGAAUGGUAGACUAAUCUACACUGCUUCAGUUUCACAGUAGUAUCAGGGUGUGUGAUUUCUGAACACAGGAAGGCCCAAUGUUUCUCCUGUUUCACUUCCCAUCACAUUUCGUUUACCUAUAUGCCUGAACUGCAUAAUUCCUGUAAUACUGAUAUGUGAAGAACGAACUAUUUUUUAAUGGGAAUUUUUAUUCCUUUGCAGCAUCUUGAAGACAUGAAGCAUAGCGUCUGACUUCUGUUUUUCCCUUCUGCAAUUGCAAAGAAGGAUUAGAGAUUGAUCUCCAAAUACUGAACAGAUGACAUGACAAAGACAUGUUAUAGAGUUGGAUACCUUGAGUGAAGCAGUGGUACCUAGAACCUAGUGCUAUCCAUGAAUGUCAUUAUCUGCUUAAUAACGACAAGAGGGACUGAGUAGAAGUAAGAAGAUAAGGUUCAGAUUAACACCAACUGUGUCAUCUUGGUAGAAAGUUUAGGACCGGUAUCCACUUCUCUUUUUUCAAAAAAGGUUUGACUCGUAUACUCAGUAGUACCACAUUCAAGUCAGACAAGUUAGGAGAUGAGUGUGCCCUAGCUGACCAUUAUCAAGAAAUGGACUUCACGGUAAGGAAAUCAUUACUCCCUCUACCACGAAUUGAAUUUCCUUGUUGAGUUGGCAUGACUCAGAUGAUGAAAAUUCUGAAGAUUUUGUUUGAGAUUUUGUGGAAACUGGUUAGAAGGGGGCCUGGGGCCUGGGGGGAUAAGCAAUCUUUGAAGUCUGUCAUACUAGAAGUUUUCCCACAAUAAAAGAACCUUUACACUGUAAAAGUAAUUUCAAAGAUGGCCAAACUUUCCUGUACAACAGAAUUUGACAGAUUGCUAAAUCCUUGAAGUCGAUUUAUUAAUGGUCAUCAUCAGUGAAAAGGUAGCAUGUUGCUUUUAUUCUAAUCAUGUGGCCUGUCAGUACCCUCAAGAACAUGAAAACCCUAAUUAUUGUUGUUUUAAUCUAGCAGGAAUCAGCCUGUGUCCAUGUAGAAUAUUUUUUCACAUUAAUAUGAAGACUGUAGUGGUUAGGUGGAAUCUGUUUAGCUGAAGAUGUUCUUGUUGAUAUGAUGCAAAUCGAAAUAAUUGUGAACUAUAAGACAGUUCUAUCCCUAGCUAUGCUUUGAUUGCUAGACAAAUGGGAGUCAUAGUCCCUGAUCUAUUCUUUUAUGUGACCCCUCUCCAGUUAAAUCCUGAAUAGCUGAAGUUGCAGUACGUUCAUACAAUAGGUAGCUUUUCAUGCUGCAUCAUAAUAAUGGAAUACUUAGUUCCUGUUCUCUGUCAAUGUGUUGGAUUGCCCCUGGCUGAUCGUGUCUUUUAUAAAACACAUUGGAGAAAUCUGCUCUAGUCUUGUAAAAUAUCUUCCUUCCGUUUAAACUAUCUGUCUUCAAACUUUAGCCUUCAGUCCAGCAUCUUCAACGGUACAGCUGACUGUAACUAUGAGAAUCUGCAUGCUUCUUUCUUGCAGCAUUUUGUUUGUUUUUUGCUUUUGCCCCUUUAUCCUGCUCUCCAUCUCCUAAUUCUAAUUAAUUUGCUAAAACUUGCGGAUAGGUGCUAAUAUCUUUUAAAUCCUUUUCACAAAGAGGUGUAAACAACAAUGCCCCUCAGGGUUUUGUUCUAGUGGUAAGAGCACAAUCGAUGAUGUGUGGAUUAGGCACAGGCCACAGGUUCGAAUCUUGCCUCAGACAAAGCCAGAUAUUUAAGUGGAGAUGGGUAGAGCGGCGGGCCCAUCAUUCACCCAGUUUCGAACCCUUUGGCCACUGGGAUCUCUCGGUAGUCAGGAAAAAGUGUUAACGACAAUACACCACAAUUUAUGCAUGUUGUGAAAAGAGGAAAGAGGAGAGAAACUCUUACUGAACUUCUCUUGUUAGAAAAGCUCUCGUGUCUUACUGAACUUUUUUGGGUUAACAUAUAUGAGGGCUCUUUUUUAAUGGACUGAAGAAUCCUAAUUAUUGGGGUUUUCAAUUAUGACAUAAUAGUUUAUAGUUCUCUGGUCAAUGGCAGAACAUUAGGAGUAAUUCUCACUAAGAUCAUUUUGACACACUUUUAGACUUAUAGACUCCUUGUAUCUUGGAUAGGAGUUGAGCAAAAACUUUAGUACAGGUUCAACUCCUGAUUGUUGACGGAACAGUGUUCAUCACCGAAAGGUCGUAUUCUUUCUCACAGACUGUUAUCGACACAGCCAAAGAAAUGUGCCUUGCAGCACAUGGGAAAAAUCGUCUUAAUUUAGCGGAAAGAGAUUUUGGUGACACAAAUCUCUAUUAAAUCAUGUAAGCUUGAAUUAAAAUUGAAGGGUAACAAGAAAUUAUUGGGGUAAUUGCUGGCAAAGCCAGAGAAAAGUGACCGGAAGAGACGAUGCCGUCAGGAUGGUUGCCUGAAAGAGAUCAGCGUGGUGCCUCAAAUGUUCUCUGGAAAGAAGUGUGGAGCCUGAAAAGGCACAAUGCUGCCUAAAUGAUGGCUGGAAACAAGAAUAGUGCUGCCUAGAAGGGUUAUCAGAAAGAGGCAAGAGUAGUACUUAGAUUUCCACAAAUAUCGUAGAAGCUUAAUACGCCUAAUACUACAUGGAAGGAGAGAGACGAAGAGAAACUCUUGUUGGAACUGGUUGAUAACAUCAAGAGUGCUCCUUGUAGAAAAGUUUUGAACUAUAUAUGAGAUAAGGAAGUUUCAUGUUCCUAAGGUUUCCUAUUUAUUACAUGAUAUAUAAUCACUAAGGAUAUUUUCCAUAUUAUUCUUAUUGAUCUUGUAACUUUCAUUGGUAAUAUAAUCAUUACCAAAUUCUCUGCUAUUUAAUUAUUCUGUUAACUUUGAACAUCUUUUUUUUUCUUAUUAUAGUGGUGUCCGGGUCAAUUUGCUCGCACCUUGAGUAUCCCACCGAAAAGCCUGCGGUACACAUGGCGCGAAAUCAGCUCACCAUGGUAGAGCAGAUAGGCUUAUACCGAGUGUUAUAGCUUAGCUUUGAACCUGAGAUCUCAGGUUGUUACUCAUGUGUCUCAACUGCUCAACCAUUUCCUUUUUCAACGACAUGAAAUGGCUAUGAUAGAAACCUUAGUAUGCAUAUUUUUCUUUGACUAGUUGACUGCAAAUUAACCAGUGAAACUUACCCUAACCUCAGAAGUUGGAGUUGCCAGUUGGUGAUUCUCCUCCUUUGUUUUGUUGUAUCUUUCAAUCACCGACUUCAUGCUGUCAAAGUAAAUAUAUUCAGAAUUGUCUACGUUGUACUGAUUGAGCAAAAAUUUUGGAUGUAUCACAAAGUUGUUCUGUUUGUUUCUAGUCUAGCCUCUACAUACAUAAUAGUUAAAUUGUGUGGACUUCCCUUGUCAAAAAAAAUUGUGUCGUCUCCAUACUAGGUCAUUGUAAUUAAAUACUUUUUUAUCUAAUAAGAAAGGACUCGAAUAAAACAGGGCAGAAAACAUCUUUUGCAGCCUCUUAUUAACACGAUGGCUGCAGUUCUGGUAUUUUAUUUUCUCUCUUUGGUUUUCAGUUGAAUGGAGUCGAGAGUGAUGGCACGCAAAACCUUUACAAAGUGAAUGGUACUGUCUUGAAGGUAGGUCUCUGAAGUUUGUUUGGCUCCUUUUACUCUAAUUUCAUGUACCAAUCAUCAAGGUAUGGAUUAACUCGUUAGUUGUGGGUGUUCCCUUCAUGCUUAGUAUUAGAAGCCAAACAAGGGGGGGGGGGGGGGGGGAAGGAAUAUCGAACACGAUCUAAUGAGCGUAAGAAAGCUUGUUAUCUUGAACACCAAGUUAUUUCUGUAGGCAUUCUCUGUGCUGCUUCUAAAUUCUAUACUAGUUAUUGAAUGUUGAUUGAGUGAUAAGGAAUUGUCUAAACAUACAACCUGAAUUCAGAUAAAGAAUAUAACAUGGGGAUAUUUCAGAAUGAUAACCCAAAUGCAUGAGGAAGAGAAUUUCCUAAAACAUAACUAGCAUAAUGUAAAUGCAUGCAAGAGAUGCAUAAUGAUAACUGCAACUGUAGUUAAGGAACUAUCUGUAGGUUUUUGGGUGAAAUAAGGUAAGUUUUAGGAUCCCGGAUAUGAUAAAAAGAAAAGAGGUUCAGUCUCUCGGGUCAAACUUUCCUUGCCUUUCUCUUCUGUUUAACAUAUCUUUAUUUCUGUUUCUGACUCCUUUUCUGUUUGUCUGUCUGUCUGAUGGAGUAUUUCUGAAUCAUUCAUGACAUUGAAAGCAAUUGUUUAGUGGUAGAAUGGUAGUAAUAGAUAAAAUAAUUCUAACAACAACAACACAUCGGCAGUAGUAAUUUCUCAGCCAGUAUGGUAGUGGGGUGUUAUGGUAUACUUCAUGAGUAGUUUUAGUGACUCAAUGAGAAAUGCUUAAUGAAAUCAUGAUAAAGAUAUGUUUAGGCUAGAAUAGAAAUGCUGGCAAUCAGAAGAUAGCACGAAAUGAUUGGAACAACAAAUUUAUUGGGCCAUUUGCAAUCAGAAGAUAACACGGCUUCUGAAGUCUGAUUCGCACUAUAACAUGCAAUGCAUCCCCUUCCUCUCUAUGUAUGUCAUAGGGUCUUUCAUUUGAUUUUGUCAGUAACAUGCUUGAUGUUAUCAAAACCAGAAGCGCAGCGAAAAAGGAACACAUUCAUGCAUGAGACAAAGAAUUGCUUGAUGUUCCAGAAUAAUAGUAAGAACAAGAUACUAGAAUAGAUGUCAUUUGAGAAAGGAGUGAUGUGAAAAACUUAAGCAUAUAUAUCUCAUUCUGGAGUCCUAACGGAAAAAGCGAUCGUCAUCUAGAGUUCUUCAUUCAUGUAACUGCUGGUGUAACUAGUUCUAUUAGCAGAAAGCAGCACCAGAAAAUAGUAUCAUUUGUUGAGAUACCAGACUUCGUAAUACAUGCCUUUGUCACCCUUGUAGCAGAGUUCUAACAUCGUCUGUAUUUCUGCUGGUUUCCACUUUUCAAUGUUCCUCCUAUAUUUUCUUGUGCAAUAUAUUCAGACCCGUCUCCCACUGUUACAUUAUAUGAUUAAAUGAGGAAUCUACCAUGAUUAUAAGUUGAGCUAUAUGGUGUGACUGCUAUUCAGAUAGUGUUCCAGUCAAGUUCUCAUAAUAAUUUUGUGGUUAAAGAUGUUUUUUUUUGGUAAUUAAACAUUUAUUAAUCACCAAGGAAGAUCCGUACAAAGCCAUAGUUAGUUAAACUCGACUAUCUAAAAACAAGAAACUAUCAAUUCCUCUAUCUACCAUCCUAGGAAAUUUAAAACGAACAAGAUUGAAAAUAACUCCUAGUUCUAACAGGGGAUCUAGCACAACAUGUAUAAGCUAUCUCUUUUGCAAUGGUGACCCAAUCUUUUUACUCUUCUGUUCAAAGAUCCUUUGGUUCCUUUCUAUCCAUAUUUCUAUAUAUAGCAACUUGAAAAUCUGGGCAGUUGGUGAUUUUCCUUGGCAUUCUCAAUAGUCCACUGUUGAUAUUGCAUCCAUGCAGUUGGAAAAGUUGUAUUCUUCUUCCCCCAUAGCAGUACCUUGUCCCAUAUCUUCCUUGAGAGUCUACAUUGGACAAAGAGAUGUUCAUUUGUCUCAUUGUGUUCUUGGCAUUGGCUACACUUUAGUUCCACAUUGAGUCCCCAUUUUACUAGCCUAUCCGCAGUGAGUAAUCUUUCAUGCAAGUGAAGCCACAUGGUAAAAUGUGCUCUAGGUCUAGCAUCCCUUCUCCACGCUCUAGGUCUAGCAUCAUUGGAGAACAUUAGGCAUUUCCAUGGUAUUCUUGGUAGGUCUCCUAGGUAGUGUUGUCAAAAGCGCACUUAAGCCCUGGAGCGAGGCUCAAAAUAUGUUGAACGCUUCGCCUCGCUUUGUGAGCGCUUUAGUGUUGCAUCAAGGCUCUAUGGCAUACUUUCUCUUGCCAAUUAAUGUAAUCCUGAAAAGGCGAUAUUGAACAAUUGAUAUUUCGCUUUAUCGUAAUUCAAUUUCUUUGUCCAUAUUUUUGUUAUUCAUGUUUGUAAUUAUUAGUCUUAGACUACAUAUACAUAUUUUUACUUUUUCUCCAGUUGCGCCUUUUUUCAUUAAAAACCAUGCUUUAUUUGCGCUUUGCGUUUAAAGCACCAAUGGAUCUUAAGAGCUUUUUUGUGCUUUUCGCCUUUGAUAACACUGCUCCUAAGAGCUGCAAAUAAGUCUGCUUAAUCAAGCUUUUCCCUGGUGCAGGUUGGUCCAGUAGUUGCAUCAUGGUAGUUCUUGCAUCAAAGAUCCUCCUAACCAUCCAACAUGCACAUUGUGGCACCUUCACGAUAGCAAAUUGCUGCCCCUUGAUGUAAUAGCUAUGAAUCCAUCCAUAACCUGUCAGUUUUAUGUGCUAAGUCCCAACAGGUUUUCAAUACUGCUGCUCUAUUCCAUAGCCUUAAGUUCAUGAGGUUGAGUCCACCUGCAGAUUUAGGGGAGCAAACCAUUUCCCAUGCAACCAAAGCCUUCUUACUUAUUGUGUUGACUCCUGACCAAACAUAACUACGACAGUAUGCAUCUAUGAUACCCAAUUUCUUGGCAAGGAUCAUGAAGAGUUGAGGUCAAUAGGCUUGGAUGCCAAAUAUGACUGAUUUGACCAGUAUCCUCCCAGCAUAGGACAAUUUUCUAGUAGUCCAUGAGGAGAUUCUUUUUUUUUUUUUUGAGAAGGUAACAUAAUUGUAUAUUAAUAUAAGACUUCACUAAAAUUGUGAAGUCACCCAUAAUUACAAAGAAAGUGCCCUAGCAAAAAUAAAAGACACUUUAAAUCCUUGGUCUUCUUACAAGGAUUCUAGUACAUCUAAAAUGGAUUCAAGAUCCUCCAAAAACUUCCCUUUACGCCAAAAAUGUCCUAUGCUGGGAGAUUCUUUUAACUAUCUUUUGUACAAGAGGCUGCCAUUGUGUUGUGGUCAACUUCUUAAUUGACAAAGGUAUGCCCAUGUAUUUGAAUGGUAGAUUCCCAUAGGUGUAUCCCAGCCGCUGCAAUUUUUAAUCCUUUUCUUCCUGUAUCACUCCUCCACAAUAUAAUGAACUUUUGCCUAGGUUAGCUUGUAAGCCUGAGGCAGAGGAAAAUUGAUGAAAGCACUGUUGAAGGUGAUAUAUAGACCCCACAUCUCCAUGAGCAAAGAGUAAGAGGUCAUCUGCAAAGGACAGAUGUGUAAUCCCCAGCUUAGCACAUUUGGGGUGAAAUCUGAAGGCCUUCUUAUCUUUCAAAUUGUUCAAUUGUCUGCUAAGAUAUUCCAUUGCUAUGGCAAAAAAGGAAAGGGGACACUGGAUCCUCUUGUCUCAGGUCCCUUGCAGCAUCAAAUGGUUCAAUUGGCUCACCAUUGAUCAAGAUAGAGUAGUUGACUGUUCUAAGGCAUUCCAUAAUUCAUUCAAUGAAUUUCCUGAGAAAAGCUAAUUCCUCGAAAAGCUGUUCUAGAUAGCACCAUUCAACUAUGUCAUAAGCUUUUUGUAGAUCAAUCUUGAUCAGACACCUAGGAGACACAUGCUUCCUAGCGUAAGCCUGUACUAGCUCAUGAGCCAAGAUGAUGUUAUCUGCUAUUUUCCUUCCUAGUAUGAAGCCUGCUUGUGCUUCACAGAUAAUGUCAGGUAUCACCUUUUGUAAUUUUGAUGCUAAGAUUUUUUAGAUAAUUUUAUAUAGAACAGUGCAGCAUGCAAUUGGUCUAUAUUAUUUCACUGUGAGAGGAUUCUCAGACUUAGGGAUCAAUGUGAGUUUAGUGCAAUUACGAGCUCUGUAUAGCUUUCCUGUUGUA